rnacentral:lncRNA from 1 species
UAAGUGCGAAAGUCGAUAUCUGUCUCGUGGCAAUUCUCGCAGUUUGACCAAUCACAUUGAUAAAAUACAUUCUUUUUGAUAAGGUCACUAAGUGUAGUUUGCAUGUCCAUUGCAGUAAAUUGGAGUCCGAGUGGCCUCAUUUCUAUACCGUCUAGGCGUGGAAUUUUCACUUUAAUUAUAAGGUUUAUGCGGAUGGUGUUUUUUAAACAAGGAGGCACACAAGAAGGAAAUUGAAAGAAACGGAUACCGGUAUGUAUGAUCAUGGUGGCUUUUUGCUCUAAAUCAUCAUAGUCGAGGACGUAUGCCACCAUAAUCAAAAGCAACUAAAUAUCUAUUGACGCGACUACUUCAAUCAGCAAAUGACUAACCAUAGUAAGCCAUAUUUCUUCCCUCAUUACCUUUCAUAAUCAAUCUUUGACCCCACUAAUUUUUCUUUAAUUAUUCAUACGCUUACUAGUAAUUGGACUUGGACUUACAAUAUGGCUCAUUGGCGAAGGAUAAAAGGGGCGGGGAGGGGCGCCCGACCCCCCUAACUUUUCGCUUAGUAGUGUUAUAUAUGUAGUUUUCGUAUAGAUUUUUUUGGGUAUAUACGUUUUCGACCCCCGGUUCUAUAGAAAUUUUUUG